rnacentral:rRNA from 1 species
AGAGUUUGAUCCUGGCUCAGGAUGAACGCUAGCUACAGGCUUAACACAUGCAAGUCGAGGGGAAACGACAUCGAAAGCUUGCUUUUGAUGGGCGUCGACCGGCGCACGGGUGAGUAACGCGUAUCCAACCUGCCCACCACUUGGGGAUAACCUUGCGAAAGUAAGACUAAUACCCAAUGAUAUCUCUAGAAGACAUCUGAAAGAGAUUAAAGAUUUAUCGGUGAUGGAUGGGGAUGCGUCUGAUUAGCUUGUUGGCGGGGUAACGCCCACAAGGCGACGAUCGAGUAGGGGUUCUGAGAGGAAGGUCCCCCANAUUGGAACUGAGACACGGUCCAAACUCCGUACGGGAGGCAC